AUGAACGCUGGCGGCAUGCCUUACACAUGCAAGUCGUAAGAAGGUANGCGAUCGGACGCUGACGGAGUGGCGAACGGGUGAGUAAUACAUCGGAACGUGCCCAGUCGUGGGGGAUAACUACUCGAAAGAGUAGCUAAUACCGCAUACGAUCUGAGGAUGAAAGCGGGGGACCUUCGGGCCUCGCGCGAUUGGAGCGGCCGAUGGCAGAUUAGGUAGUUGGUGGGAUAAAAGCUUACCAAGCCGACGAUCUGUAGCUGGUCUGAGAGGACGACCAGCCACACUGGGACUGAGACACGGCCCAGACUCCUACGGGAGGCAGCAGUGGGGAAUUUUGGACAAUGGGCGAAAGCCUGAUCCAGCAAUGCCGCGUGCAGGAUGAAGGCCUUCGGGUUGUAAACUGCUUUUGUACGGAACGAAAAAGCUCCUUCUAAUACAGGGGGCCCAUGACGGUACCGUAAGAAUAAGCACCGGCUAACUACGUGCCAGCAGCCGCGGUAAUACGUAGGGUGCGAGCGUUAAUCGGAAUUACUGGGCGUAAAGCGUGCGCAGGCGGUUAUGUAAGACAGAUGUGAAAUCCCCGGGCUCACCCUGGGAACUGCAUUUGUGACUGCAUGGCUAGAGUACGGAAGAGGGGGAUGGU
rnacentral:rRNA from 1 species